rnacentral:rRNA from 1 species
GAUCAUGGCUCAGGACGAACGCUGGCGGCGUGCCUAAUACAUGCAAGUAGAACGCUGAAGGAGGAGCUCGCUUCUCUGGAUGAGUUGCGAACGGGUGAGUAACGCGUAGGUAACCUGCCUGGUAGCGGGGGAUAACUAUUGGAAACGAUAGCUAAUACCGCAUAACAGUAGAUGUUGCAUGACAUUUGCUUAAAGGUAGCAAUUGCAUCACUACCAGAUGG